UACAGAGGUCCCAAGCGUUGUUCGGAUUCAUUGGGCGUAAAGGGUGCGUAGGCGGCGCGGUAAGUCGGCUGUGAAAGCCCCGGGCUCAACCUGGGAACGGCGCUUGGGACGGCGAGGCUGGAGUUCGGGAGAGGAGAGUGGAAUUCCCAGUGUAGAGGUGAAAUUCGUAGAUAUUGGGAAGAACACCGGUGGCGAAGGCGGCUCUCUGGACCGACACUGACGCUGAGGCGCGAAAGCGUGGGGAGCAAACAGG
rnacentral:rRNA from 1 species